AGGAUUCGUUCGACUACAUCCGUUUGUCUUCUUCUUGGACUCGUUCUUCUUCCUUGCGGGAUCUCAGGCAAGAUGACCAUACCCUCGAAAUCACAUCUACCUUUGCUUGCUAGUUGCUUGCUCUUUUGCUAUGCCGUGAUACCUACCACUUGCUAUAUCAUGCCUCCCAUAUUGCCAUGUCAAGCCUCUAACCCACCUUUCCUAGCAAACCGUUGUUUGGCUAUGUUACCGCUUUGCUCAGCCCCUCUUAUAGCAUUGUUAGUUGCAGGUGAAGAUUGGAGUUUGUUCCUUGUUGGAACAUGUUUAUUGUUGGGAUAUCACAAUAUCUCUUAUUUACUUUAAUGCACCUAUAUCCUUGGUAAAGGGUGGAAGGCUCGGCCUUAUGCCUGGUGUUUUGUUCCACUCUUGCCGCCCUAGUUUCCAUCAUACCGGUGUUAUGUUCCUUGAUUUUGCGUUCCUUGCGCAGUUGGGUUAUAAUGGGAACCCCUUGACAGUUCGCCUUGAAUAAAACUCCUCCAGCAAGGCCCAACCUUUAUUUUACCAUUUUCCACCUAAGCCCUUCUCCCUUGGGUUCUGCAGACUCAAGGGUCAUCUUUAUUUUAAUCCCUCGGGCCAGUGCUCCUCUGAGUGUUCAUCCAACUUGUUAGCCACCGGUGGCCACCAGGGGUAACUCUGGGCUGGCCUACCGGAAGUUUGGACAAUCCGGUGUGCCCUGAGAACGAGAUAUGUGCAGCUCCUAUCGGGAUUUGUCAGCACAUUCGGGUGGCUUUGCUGGUCUUGUUUUACCAUUGUCGAAAUGUCUUGUAACCGGGAUUCCGAGUCUGAUCGGGUCUUCUUGGGAGAAGGAAUAUCCUUCGUUGACCGUGAGAGCUUGUGAUGGGCUAAGUUGGGACACCCCUGCAGGGUUAUGAACUUUCGAAAGCCGUGCCCGCGGUUAUGGGCAGAUGGGAAUUUGUUAAUGUCCGGUUGUAGAAAACUUGACACUUAACUUAAUUAAAAUGCAUCAACCACAUGUGUAGCCGUGAUGGUCUCUUUCCGGCGGAGUCUGGGAAGUGAACACGGUUUCGUGUUAUGCUUGAACGUAAGUAGUUUCAGGAUCACUUCUUGAUCAUUUUAGCCUCUCGGCCGUGCUUUGCUUCUCUUCUCGCUCUCAUUUGCGUAAGUUAGCCACCAUAUAUGCUAGUGCUUGCUGCAGCUCCACCUCACUACCUUUUCCUACCCAUAAGCUUAAAUAGUCUUGAUCUCGCGGGUGUGAGAUUGCUGAGUCCCCGUGACUCACAGAUUACUUCCAAAACUAGUUACAGGUGCCGAUGGGACCAGUGCAGGUGACGCAAUCGAGCUCAAGGAGGAGCUUGAUGAAGUUCAUGUUCGUUGUGUUGUUUCAUUUCCAGUUGAUCAGUAGUGGAGCCCAGUCGAGGUGAUCAGGGAUCUAUGCAUUAGGGGUUUUCUUUCUUUAUUUGGUUACGUAGUCGGGCCUUGAUUGUAUUCUGGAUGAUGUAAUGCUAUAUUUAUGUAUUAUGUGAAGUGGCGAUUGUAGGCCAACUCUUUAUCCCUCUCUUAUUCUGUACAUGGGAUGUGUAAAGAUUACCCCUCUUGCGACAUGCCUACAAUGCGGUUAUGCCUCUAAGUCAUGCUUCGACACGUGGGAGAUAUAGCUGCAUCGUGGGUGUUAUAAGUUGGUAAUCAGAGCCUUCCCCGACUUAGGAGCCCCCUGCUUGAUCGAAUCGCUAGCGUUGUUGAGUAUAGAAAAAUGGUUUGAGUCUUUUAGGAUUAUAUAUAUCGGAGAGUAGGAUUCUUUUACUCCUCAAUCCCUUCAUCGCUCUGGUGAGGCAUCCUGACGUAGAGUUUUGACUCUUCUCUCCUCAAAUUUCACUAAAAAAAUUUAGGAUCACGUGGGUAUCUUGGAAUCGUUUCGAUGGUUUUGUGACGAGAACAUUGUUCUUGGUGCCUCCUGACAUUUAGGGGUUGUGGCAGUGUCCCGGGGAGUUGAGCUCUGAGGUGUUGUCGUCGCAAUUUUAUCGUUGCAGUUCUGGAAUACCUGAGCUUCGCCGACAUAGAAAAUAUCUUUUAUACAGUUGUUGGUGAGAUAACCUCAACGCCACCCAGUACUGGGGCGGGAGUUCGGGAGUAUUGCCAUAACUCGUAUAAUGGAUGUUUUUUGAAGGUUGAGGUAAACGAUUUCCGAAGGUUUCUUGGUUAUGUGUUGAAGGAUGGAUACAGCUGGAUGUAGGAUUUGCUAGUUUUGGGUGAGAUAUUAUGCUUCCCCUGUAUCCCCAACACCUGAUUGCAUAACUGGAAAGUUUCGGGAGUUUAUAAGUGGGAAUUCAAGUAGCCCUUAGGAUAUCUUUCCGACAGAUGCAUGAUAUGAGAUUGGGGUUCAACGUCUAGUGGUCCGCCUAUCCACGGUUGGUUUUACAGUGGUCUCGUUGUGUCUUAAAGAGUCCUUGGCUAUGCUGACUCGGGGACGCUUCAUAUGUCAUGUGCACUUCCUUGUACAUGAUGGUGCUGUACGAUCGAGCCCGUGUGGGCCCCACCAUGAAAACUUCGGACAAAAUCUCUAUCAUAUGUUUGUUCCGGCUUAUUCUGCAAGCCAAUCCUUUGUUUUUUUUUGAGUUGUGGUAUUCGAGUUGCUUCAGUGUCAAGUGUUGAUUCCAUACCUUCCCCAAAUGGUGUUCUCAUAUUUCUAUGUGAAUACUAAUCCUUCAUGAUAAUCGAGAUUGUCAUGUAAAUCCUUUUCAACCGGCGUGUCAUCUCUUCUAGUGGAUACAAUCUUUUCAAAAAUUCGCAAGGUCAAACCUCAGUUUUCCCAACAGUGUUCGUUUCAUCCAUCCCAAGUUGCCUUUGUUUUUCCCGCCCUCCCACCCUUUUUCUUCAAGGACUCAGAUUUCUUAAUCAAGUAUCAUCUUAUUGAUGAGAAGUCUCUCCAUUCUUUUUCGCCAAUGUUCUUAUCCGGUGAUUCUCAUGAAGAUGAUAAAGGAAGCUUCAAGUUUAUCAUUCUUUGUUCUUUUAUCUUCCCCGGUUUUUUCAAUGCAAUCUUUCGAUGGUGAUCACAUCCUUUUCCUCGUUUCAAAUGUGUUCUCAUGUCGGUGCACCUCUUAAUCACCCACUCUUGCUAUUCUAUUAUUCCGGAGUGCUGAAGAUAUCUCAGAAGGCUCGUCUUGUCAUCCAAGAUCCGUUCAACCUAUUUCGAGUUUGUCAUCUCAUUCAGGCCGUUUAACUCAACCGAUGCAAUCUCCUUUUCAAGUAAUCAUUCAACGGUGUUUUCUCUUGAGUGGGACCUAACCCACAUGUCUUUUCCCAAGAUCUUACCUAACUCUUCUAAUUUUAUCCGGAGUGAUUCCCAAAUUCUUUUCAAAGUUCGACGUAAGAAUGAUUUGUCAUCAGUCAAAUGUCUUUCUUGAAGAUCUGUCAAAUUAUUGUCAUCGUCUGUUCAACCAUUCUAAUUUUCAUCCCGGAGUAUCUCAACAAUUCAUGGUCGUGUUUCUCGUCGUCAUUCUCGGAUUUUGAAGACCGAAGAAGAGUUUCUCUUAAAUCUUGCUCCAUUCUCUUCAAGAUUCAUGGUUCUAGCUUGAUGCCCUCCUCUCAUAAUUGUUUUGAUUGUGAGAAUUCUUUUCAUCUAUCCGGAGCAAUUCAUGAGUCUUUUCAGUUUGAUUCUCCGAAGGCCAUCAUUUCGGGUUUAUUCAUUCUCAGCUUUCAGUUAUCAUUCUCCAAAUCUUACCGGUGCAUCAUUCAAGUAUUCUCUAAUCAGUUCGUGAUCUCUUCGUUCUCAUAUAUCUAAAUCCAAACAAGUACCUUCAUUCGUUUUUCCAAUUCUUCCCGGUGAUUGUUGCCUUUGCUAUUUUUCAUUUUCAAUUCUUACGGUGGUUCGUUCAAGAUUUCUCUUCCUUCAUUAUCUUAUCAAUGCAUUCAUUGUUUCAAUUCUACUGGUGGAUCGUUGGAGACCUUCUCUAGUUGCGCUAUAUCUAUCUUAACCCUUUCUACGAGAAUAAGUAGUAUGCCAAAUCCGUUGCUUGUCAUCAAUUUAAAUUGGUGAAGGAUAAGCAUAAUGUAAUUCUUACUCUUGUUUCAUCCAAGUGAUUAAUUCCUUAUUCCGGAGGCUCAUCAAAUUCUCGGUUUAAAUUGUUUCAUCUUUUCUUUUUCCAGAGUCCCAUGUUUUUCGAAUUAUAUCAUCAUGAAGAUCCAUCUAAAUCAUUGCAAGGCUUCAAUCUUAUUCUUUUCAUCCUUCAAUUCUUUUCGAUCAUUCUUUUAUUACCAGAGUUCUUCAUGGAGGCUCUACAUGAUGGUUGAUCAAGGAUUCAAUUUCUUCUCGAAGUGUUCAUUGAGGUUCUUUUCAGAGGAGUUCAAGCAUUCUGCAUCUUGCAUCCCAAAGUGCAAUUCCUUCUAUCUUAUCUUUUGAGGUGGUGUUAUGUCAUUCUUGAUAAUUUCCCUUCGUGUUUCAUGAUUCACAAGUUAUCAAGAAUGAGGUAUUUUAAAUCCAUUAAUCUCUUUGUUGGAGUUGUCUUGUGUCAUAUUUCACCUAAAGCCUUCCCUCAGGAAUGUUGCUAUUGUGGUGCUUAUCAAUGAUUCAAGUUAUCUCUCUUUCUUCUUGGUGGAAGAAGUUUUCAUCUCUUCUUUAUUCCCGAUCAAUCAUUGUUUUUCAUUAGUGGCAGAAUUUCACCUUAGUUUUGAGAUGUUCUCCAUAAGCCCACUACAAGCUUACUCUUUUCGUUGUUGGUUUUCUAACAACUCCGUUAUAACCCUCUUGGAAGGGUGCCUUCCAAGAUCAUUUGUGGCAGAAGUUGUCAUUUUCUUCUCAAUUCUUUCUUUUCCAAUGAUCCAACUUCUAUUCUUUUGUUCCGGAGGCAUUGUGAUGUUGUUCUUUUCACCCAUCAUCUCGUUUUGUCAAAGAUCAUGUUCUUUUCGUGCUUAUCCUUUUAACCGGAGUGUUGUGUCUAUCAUUCCUCUUCUAACCGGACUCUCAUCCAAGUGCUUUCAUUUUGCCAAGCUCAUAUUCUUUACCUUCCAUUUCCAACCGGAGUGUUGUCGUAAUUGAUCCUUAUCGCUCCUUGUACAUCUCGUUUCUACCGGAGUGCUUGCAUGUACUUCUUGUCCAUUGCAACCCUUUUUCUUAUGUCUUUCAACCUGCAAGGUUCUAGUAAUGUUCUUUGUUCCUCUUUUCUAACGAAGUGUUUUCAACUUUGUUCAUCUCCGUUGUAUUCUUCUUUCCAAUUGUUUAACCUCGCAAGGUUCUUUGGUUUCACUCAUUGGUCUAAGAAGCAACUUUGUUUUACCUCUUCCUCUUCCGUUUUCUAUCCGGUGCCAUCCCAGAUCUCGGGACGAGAUCCUCUCGUAGUGGUGGAGUGUUGCAACACCCCGAGACCGAUGCUCGAGAAGACUUCCAUGUGUUCCGGGUUUCGCCGUGUGUUUCAUUUGUGCCUGCCCUUUUAUUUUUGCAUUGCAUCAUGUCUUCAUGCCAUCAUCUCAUAAAUCUUUUGCAACUCAACUAAAUAAAUGGCAUGGAUCUUUGAUCCAUUUAAACCGAGGGAAUUCACAUGGCGAUUCUCUUUACAACAUAUCCUCUCGAUAUUUAGAGAGCUAUAGUAAAUAUUCCAAUUAUCUGGAUUUACCGCAAACACACUUGCAAAAUAUCCCAAUGCCUUUGUUAUCUUAAUUCUUGGUCUCCAACAUGGCCAUAUAUUUCUUUCUUCAUAUUUCGGAGCCCCACCAAAAAUCCGAGCAUUUUUGGACACCUCUAUUUCCUAGCCCUUGUUCAAACCAUUUGAAUUAAAUUCAAAUGACUUUGAAUUAAAUCCUUGCAAUCACGCCUCUCCUAUUUUUUCUUGGAACCAGCGCAUUUUUGCGAGUCCGGGAAUAUUAUCUAUGUGCACUAAUUCUUUCCCUAACCCCUCCCUCUUUCUUUUCUUCUCCAUUUUUGUUUUCUGCUUAGAAAUAAGGGAGAGAGAGGAGAGAGCCCAGCAGGCCGGCCUCUAGGGCCCAUCCCUAGGCCCAGCCGCGCCCCUGCCUAAUCCCUAGGCCAACUGCACCUGGGCCACCCGAACUCCCGCGCCGGCCCAACUUAACCCCCACUAACCCUAGGCCUCCCGCUCGAUCCCCUGCACCUGUCCUCCUCGUUCCCUCACGCCGCCAGGGAAACGCUAGCCCAAUCCCCACUCCCACGAUCCCAUCGCUCUCCCUCCACCGCCAGGAGACCCACGCUCGACCCCUCCUCUCGCUCGAUCCCGCUCGUCCCCAUCUCCCUCUCGACCCCCUCAUCCACUUCUCACUAGUGCCGUCUCCGACCUCGCCCGAUCUCCUUCUCCCCUCGACCUCCCGAUCCACCGCCAUCCUCCAUGUGCGAGGACGCCACCGACAACGGCGUCACCAUCAACGUCACGUGCCUGCAGCGCUCGGCUUCCUACCCGAGUCCAGGCCGCCGCCGUGCCUCCGCCCUUGCCAUGGGCACCGCGAUCUCGUCCCCGCCACCUUGCACUCACCUUGGCCGCGCCUCCCUCUGCUGCCGCCCAUGGCCCGACGCCCGAGCGCCUCCUGCCGCGAGCUCCACCAGGACCACGUCGCCGCCCCGCCUCCAAGUUCGCCGCCCUCAAGCGCCGCAUUGGCCAUGCCCGACGCCGCCAGCAGGGCCCCGUUCCCGUCUCCGGCGCCUCAAGACCAUGCCCGAGCCCUCUGCUCGAGCAGGAGCUUCGCCUCCUUGCUUCGUGCCAAGGCCGACGCCGGCCACUUUGCCUUCGUCUCUUGCUGCCGGCACACCGUCGGACCUCCGCCUCUCCCUGUUCUUCAUGCUGCCUGUCGGCCCUCCGUUUCUUCCUCGCGGUGAACACAUUCAGCAUGGAUGUUUUGAGUUGUUUGUCUCAUGCACACGUCGUGUUUUCCUCCAAAUCCACCAAAGGACACCAUGCAAAAUAACCAAGCACCCAUGGACGCAAGUACCAACCGCCGCAUUCCGUUUCAUAUUUGUCAAGGCCGAGAGGAUGCCAAGUACCACGACGUCGAUGCCCCUCAAGUUCGACUACAUGUAACAGCAAGUACCACUACGGCCGGAGACCUUAGACCUGUCAAGUACCCUGUUGGUGUCAAAACCGGCGGAUCUCGGGUAGGGGGUCCCGAACUGUGCGUCUAGGCCGGAUGGUAGCAGGAGGCAAGGGACACGAAGUUUUACCCAGGUUCGAGCCCUCUCGAUGGAGGUAAAACCGUACGUCCUGCUUGAUUAAUAUUGAUGAUAUGGGUAGUACAAGAGUAGAUCUACCACGAGAUCAGAGAGGCUAAACCCUAGGAGCAUUCGCAGAUCUUCCUCAUAGCGUGUCCGAUGCCGCCGCAUUCUAUCGAGCCGAGGAGGGCAGCUCGACAGAGAAGGUGUUUUGGUCUCAGUAUGCUAAGGCCGGACACCCCGUGCCCCUGAGCGACCAGCUGAAGCAACUGGUCGAGCUCCACAAGGCAGCCGAACAGGCCAUGAAGGGCCUCAUAGUUCGGAUGUGGCCUAGAGAGGCUCUGCCUGGGAGCUAUUUCGGGCUGGUGCGGCGGCUGGUGGGGGCCUGUCCAAGGCUCGAAGUCAUCAAGCGCUCCGCCUGCAUUGAAGGUGCCCAUAGGGCCCUUGCCCGUGCUAAAGUGCACUGGGGCAAGCUGGAUGCUGAGAAGCUUGUGAAGGACGGGCCACCGCCGGGGAAGGAGCAUCGCAAGCCCGAGAAUUAUUAUAAGGAUGUUCUGAAGGGUGCCUGCCUUAUGGCGGAUGAGUGUUCCAGGGAUGUAUUUUUUGAGUAAAACUCGCUCUUUUUGUCUUGUGCGCUGAAAACUUGUUCAUAUGCGCUAAGCAAUGCUGUUGGAAUUUAAAAUAUUACCUUCUGUGCGGCUGUUUAUCAAUUUUGAGAGAUGGCGAGUCGUCGGCUUCUGCCCCCGUGCCGCUAGUGCUGGGGUGUUCACGGAUAAACCUGAGCGCUCUUUUUCCCAUUUUUGGAUCCUUCGAGGGAGGCGCUCAGCACAAUGAACAAGGCAAUUGGACUAUAAUGCUUGAACACUCUCACUUAGCCAUAGAAUUCUAUAAUUUUAAAUUUCGGUGAAGCCCCUGGUAUUCGGAAGGCCGAGUUCGGGGCGCUAUCCAUGCCUUGGCCGGACAGAGCCGACUCCUCGCUCUAGGCGUCAUAAGUCUUUAAGGAAUCGAAGAACCUCUCAAACAGCGACCAGCUCUCGCUUCAUCAUGACAGUCAGUUUUAGCUUUCUCUACUGAGGUGCUCGACCCAGCUCAACUGGGGCACAAUCGCAGUAGUUCCCCUAGUGCUACCUUAGCCGAUAUAGCGGAACGUAAGGCACCAAAAAUAGGAGUCGGGCAAACCCAACUAUUGACCCAAGACAUGAUUCGGAGCCGAUGCAUAUAAUGCUAUAAGUUCGGGGUGCCGCACUUGUUAAAGUGUUCGGACUUCUCACACCAUAUUGAGGGGUACUAAAGCCCCUGGCAUAUUUUGGCCGUACCAAAGUGUACGGGUGCAACAUGUCGUUAAGGAACAUAUAUUUAAAAAAAGAGUAAUGCAAAAAUAGACAGAAGCUAUGCAUUGUUUAUUAAAAAGGGUUGCGAUCAAAGCAGAACGAUACAAAUAAUGCGAUAAGCAAAAGGUUGGACUAUUUAACAUGUCCGUUCCAGGGACAGGCUGCAGAAUGGUAAGCGAAACAGGUAUACUGCUCAUGAUAGAGACCACCUCGGAGUUCCGUAAUGCGGCAUGGCCUGUCUGCUUCCCUGGUUCUUGCAUCGUUUGUGCGGCAAUUGAACUGCCGAACAGGCCUUCAGGAGAGUGGAGUCCUGAAAGUAAGAGAAAAUUAAAAAAUCGGCAGCCCCUGGUGCGGUUUAAGCCAUGUUUCGGGCGUGCCGUGAUGGUGCCCCUCCCCCUGCACCCAUGGUAUUUCUAGAGCGUAGUUAUGUACGCGAAGUACUAGUGUCGCAUUUUUGCGAGGGCUGGGGUUGGGGCCGCAUUGCUACGCCUACUCGGAACAUGCCAGGCGGUCUUGUUGUAGGUUACUCUGGGCGCGCUUGACGGUGUCUGGACGUUUAAUGGCCAGACUGGAGAACUGCCUGGAGAGGCUGCUUUGUACUUCCGCAGCAAGGGCCGCCGUGUGCUCCUCCGUUCGGAGAGAGCAUUCGGUGUUUCCAUUGACCGUAAUUACUCCUCGAGGGCCUGGCAUCUUGAGCUUAAGGUAUGCUUAGUGCGAUGCCGCAUUGAACUUGGCAAAUGCGGUUCGCCCGAGCAGUGCGUGAUAACCACUGUGGAAUGGGACUAUGUCGAAGAUUAGCUCCUCGCUUCAGAAAUUAUCCGGAGAUCCGAAGACCACUUCAAGUGUGACUGAGCCUGUAUAGUUGGCCUCUACACCUGGUAUUACGCCUUUAAAGGUCGUUUUGGUGGGCUUAAUCCUCGAGGGAUCUAUGCCCAUUUUCCGCACUGUAUCCUGGUAAAGCAGGUUCAGGCUACUGCCGCCGUCCAUCAGGACUCUAGUGAGAUGAAAUCCGUCAAUAAUUGGGUCUAGAACCAAUGCGGCGAAUCCGCCAUGACGGGUGCUAGUGGGAUGGUCCCUUCGAUCAAACGUGGUCAGGCAGGAGGACCAUGGGUUGAACUUUGGGGCGACUGGCUCUAUCGCGUAUACGUCCCUUAACGCGUGCUUUUGCUCCCUCUUGGGGAUGUGGGUUGCGUAUAUCAUGUUCACCGUCCGCACUUGUGGGGGAAAACCCUUCUGUCCACUGUUGUUCAGCGGCCGGGGCUCCUCGUCAUCAUCGCUAUGCGGCCCCUUGUCUGUAUUUUCGGUAUUUAACUUGCCUGCCUGCUUGAACACCCAACAAUCCCUGUUGGUGUGAUUGGCCGGCUUUUCGGGGGUGCCAUGUAUCUGGCACAAGCAGUUGAGUAUUCGGUCCAGACUGGACAGGCCCCUAGGAUUUCUUUUGAAUGGCUUUUUCCGCUGACCGGAUUUAUAGCCUCUGAAUCCGGCAUUAACUGCCGUAUCCUCAGCAUUGUCGCUGUUAGUGCGGCGCUUCUGCUUGUUGCGAUGCGACCUGCCACUACUGUCCCUGGUAUCCGAAUUACCAGGGUUCUUGGUCAUAUUGUUGCUACGAGCAAGCCAGCUAUCUUCUCCCGCGCAAAAGCGGGUCAUGAGUGUCGUGAGUGCUGCCAUAGAUUUCGGCUUUUCCUGUCCAAGGUGCCGGGCAAGCCACUCAUCACGGAUAUUGUGCUUGAAGGCUGCUAGGGCCUCAGCGUCCGGACAGUCGACUAUUUGAUUUUUCUUUGUUAGGAACCGUGUCUAGAAUUGCCUGGCUGAUUCCUCUGGCUGCUGAAUUACGUGGCUUAGGUCAUCGGCGUCUGGUGGUCGCACAUAAGUGCCCUGGAAAUUGUCGAGGAAUGUGGCUUCCAAGUCCUCCCAACAACCGAUUGAUCCUGCUGGCAAGCUGUUAAGCCAAUGCCGAGAUGGUCCUUUAAGCUUGAGUGGGAGGUAUUUGAUGGCGUGCAGAUCAUCGCCGCGGGCCAUGUGGAUAUGAAGGAGAUAAUCCUCAAUCCAUACCGCAGGAUCUGUUGUGCCAUCAUAUGAUUCGAUGUUUACGGGUUUGAAACCCUCGGGGAUUUGAUGAUCCAUUACUUCGUCUGUGAAGCAUAGAGGGUGUGCGGCGCCUCUAUACUGGGCUAUAUCACGACGUAGCUCCAAUGAGCUUUGUCUACUGUGUUCGGCCCUGUCGGAUUUGUGUCUGGCGUGACGGUUACUGUCUCGAGUCAUGGGGCGCCCACGCGAUCCGUAGAUCGAUCUUGUUUGCCUUGCCUUGUCCUCCAACAUAUCUCGCAAGUCUGGCACAUUUUCUCGUGCCUUGGUAUGGGGUGCGGCUUGAGUGGAGGGCCGAGAGGCCUCUCUGUCGCGGCCACGAGGUGGCCGGUCGGCCGUAUCAAGUGCUGGUGAUGUAGGUUUAAGUGCUUCCUCCUCUAAUCGGGGUAGCAACCUGCGCUUUGGGUAGCUCUUGGAGGGGCGUUCGAGUUUAUGCUCUUCGGCCGCAAGGACUUCAGUCCAUCUGUCGACUAGCAAAUCUUGAUCAGCUCUAAGCUGUUGCUAUUUUUUCUUGAGGCUUCUUGCCGUGGCCAUAAGCCUGCGUUGAAAAUGCUCUUGCUCGACGGGAUCCUCUGGCACGACGAAUUCGUCGUCGUCGAGGCUUGCCUCGUCUUCGGAGGGAGGCAUAUAGUUAUCGUCCUCGACCUCUUUGUCUGCCGCUCUCUCGUGAGGGCUGGCUUCUCCAUCCUCCUGUGCUGAAUCUUGCUGGAGGAGGUUUUCUUCAGCGCUCUCCGGAGUAUUAUUAUCUCCCGUGCUGGAGUCACCGUAAUUGUUUUGGCGGGAUUUUGAGCGGUGCCGCUGACGCCGGCGCUUAGGCUAUUUCUUGGAGGGGUCAUCCUCCGCUGUUCCAUCACCAUCUCCUUAUUUUGGGGUGUCCACCAUGUAUAUGUCAUACGACGAGGUGGCUUUCCAGGGCCCCGUAGGCGCUGGUUCUUCAUCGUCUCCUGCACCGACGUCCAUACCGUCGAUGUCUUUGAAGUCGAAGUCGAGCAUGUCCGUUAAAUCGUCGACAGUGGCUACAAAGUGGGUGGUGUGUGGGCUUUGAAUUUCUUCAUCGUCUGUAUCCCAACCUUGCUGACCGUAGUCCGGCCAGGGCUCUCCUGAUAAAGAGAGAGACUUUAGUGUUUUCAGAAUAUCGUCGAAAGGCGAGUGCUGAAAGAUGUCCGCGGCAGUAAACUCCAUGAUCGGUGCCCAAUCAGAUUCGAUCGGCAGGGGCGCGGAGGGUUCGGAGUCCGGAGAGGAGUCCGACUCCUUGGAGUCAUGAGUAUCGCGGAGUGUGGGGCUAGUGUUUGGCUCGAUCACCGUUGGGAUCGCAGCCCUCGAGGCGGCGUCCAACCACCCAUCCUCGAUCGGCGCAGUUGGCUCCGAAUUAAGGGUCGAAGCUAAUGCGGGUGCGGCCUCCAGGGCACUGUUCGGCGGCAGAGCUAGAUCAUGCUCGUCGUGACAGUGCAGCGCGCUCGGCAGUGGCUCGAAUCCGUCGAGGAUCAAGUCCCCGCGGAUGUCAGCCGUGUAGUUUAAACUUCCAAAUCUGACCUGACGGCCAGGGGCAUAGCUUUCGAUCUGCUCCAGACGGCCAAGUGAAUUGGCCCGCAGUGCGAAGCCGCCGAAGACGAAGAUCUGUCCGAGGAGGAUGGUCUCACCCUGGACUGCAUCGCUAUUGAUGAUCAUAGGAGCCAUCAAGCCUAACGGCGAUGACACAGAGGAACUCUCAAUGAAAGCACCAAUGUCGAUGUCAAAACCGGCGAAUCUCGGGUAGGGGGUCCCGAACUGUGCGUCUAGGCCGGAUGGUAAUAGGAGGCAAGGGACACGAAGUUUUACCCAGGUUUGGGCCCUCUCGAUGGAGGUAAAACCCUAUGUCCUGCUUGAUUAAUAUUGAUGAUAUGGGUAGUACAAGAGUAGAUCUACCACGAGAUCAGAGAGGCUAAACCCUAGAAGCUAGCCUAUGGUAUGAUUGUUGUUCCGUAUGUUGUCCUAGGGACUAAAACCCUCCGGUUUAUAUAGACACUGGAGAGGGUUAGGGUUACACAAAGUCGGUUACAAUGGUAGGAGAUCUACAUAUCCGUAUCGCCAAGCUUGCCUUCCACGCCAAGGAAAGUCCCUUCCGGACACGGGACGAAGUCUUCAAUCUUUGUAUCUUCAUAGCCCAGGAGUCCGGCUGAAGGUAUAGUCCGGCCAUCCGGACACCCCCUAAUAUAGGACUCCCUCAUACCCCUACACACGGAUACUCCAAGGUGGACUACGCUCGAUGAUGUGACAAGUUCCUCCACCGAUGACUCGAAAAAAACAUGAAUAUUGUCGACCAUCAAAGACCCCGUGGACGUCAAGUUCCGUGCCAUUGACCUCGAACCUCUACGAAAACGUGUACGACUACUUCCGUGGCCGAAGACCCGUGUACAACUACCAUCGCCGAAGGUCAUCGAGUGAACGUCUACCCACAUCGUGUAUUUGACCAAGUUCGAUGACAACUUCCGGAGAACUCGGAUUCACCAAGUUCCACUACCGUCGCCCUAGAAACCUUGGAUUCGUCAAGUACCUCUUCGAAAACGAACGUGAACCACUACUUCCCUCGACGACCCGUGAACGACUACUUCCUCUACUUCCCUCGACGAACUUGAACCGUCCCGUUUGCAUGCUUUAAAGGUAUACCGCCGAGAAUGACCGCCCGUGGACUAAUGCAUGUGUGGUGUAUCAGAUGCCCAUGGUUGCUUCGUGUCGGAGUUGUUCGUUGCACGAAGCCCCUCUUUUGCCUUGCCACCGUCAUGUGGGACACCCGGUAUCCAGGAGCACCCCACCAUCCUUGCAUGACACGCUCCCGUCACUUUCUUUUGCACCGACGUCUCAAUGAGUUGUCGGAACCGGAACGUUGCUGUGGCACCAUUUCGUUGUCGUUGCCGUGGCACCCCUUUUCGUUUCCGCCACGAGGACAAAUGCUUCAUAAUGCUCUUGUCAACUUUUAAUAAAAAUUUCAUAAACUUGUCAUGUCAUCCGCAUCAUGAUAACAACAAUUCAAAUGUUUAAAUUGUUGUUGCAAUAAAUUACUAAGGCAUAUGGGGAUUUACCGGAUUCGUUAUUUGUUAUAUCUAGCCCCAUUUAAAUUAUUUAGAUGGUGUAGUUUUGUUAUGCCUCACCUCUUGCCAUGUUAACCAACAUUUAAUUUUGUUGAGUUCCUAACCGGGAGUGAACUAAAUAAUUGAUGUGGUGUUCCGUUAAUAUGCAACUCGUUGCAUAUUGGGCUCCACUUAACUUGUAGUUUUGUUUGUGCACUUUGCCAUGCCAUGCAUAUUUAAACCGGACAUGCAUCAUACUUGGAUGUGCAUCAUGCCAUGUUUAUGUGAUGGUUGUUCACUAUGUUGUUUGCUUCUUUCCGGUGUUGCUUCUUCGGGUUAGUUCCGAUAAUGUCGCGUUGUGAGGAUUCGUUCGACUACGUCCAUUUGUCUUCUUCUUGGACUCGUUCUUCUUCCUUGCGGGAUCUCAGGCAAGAUGACCAUACCCUCGAAAUCACUUCUAUCUUUGCUUGCUAGUUGCUCGCUCUUUUGCUAUGCCGCGAUACCUACCACUUGCUAUAUCAUGCCUCCCAUAUUGCCAUGUCAAGCCUCUAACCCACCUUUCCUAGCAAACCGUUGUUUGGCUAUGUUACCGCUUUGCUCAGCCCCUCUUAUAGCAUUGUUAGUUGCAGGUGAAGAUUGGAGUUUGUUCCUUGUUGGAACAUGUUUAUUGUUGGGAUAUCACAAUAUCUCUUAUUUACUUUAAUGCACCUAUAUACUUGGUAAAGGGUGGAAGGCUCAUCCUUAUGCCUGGUGAUUUGUUCCACUCUUGCCGCCCUAGUUUCCGUCAUACCGGUAUUAUGUUCCUUUAUUUUGUGUUCCUUACGCGGUUGGGUUAUAAUGGGAACCCCUUGACGGUUCGCCUUGAAUAAAACUCCUCCAGCAAGGACCAACCUUGGUUUUACCAUUUGCCACCUCAGCCAUUUUCCCUUGGGUUCUACAGACUCAAGGGUCGUCUUUAUUUUAAACCCCCGGGCCAGUGCUCCUCUGAGUGUUGGUCCAACCUGUCAGCCGCCGGUGGCCACCAGGGGCAACUCUGGGCUGGCCUACCGGAAGUUUGGACAAUCUGGUGUGCCCUGAGAAUGAGAUAUGUGCAGCUCCUAUCGGGAUUUGUCGGCACAUUCGGGUGGCUUUGCUGGUCUUGUUUUACCAUUGUCGAAAUGUCUUGUAACCGGGAUUCCGAGUCUGAUCGGGUCUUCUUGGGAGAAGGAAUAUCCUUCGUUGACCGUGAGAACUUGUGAUGGGCUAAGUUGGGACACCCCUGCAGGGUUAUGAACUUUCGAAAGUCGUGCCCGCGGUUAUGGGCAGAUGGGAAUUUGUUAAUGUCCUGUUGUAGAAAACUUGACACUUAACUUAAUUAAAAUCCAUCAACCACGUGUGUAGCCGUGAUGGUCUCCUUCCGGCGGAGUCUGGGAAGUGAACACGGUUUCGUGUUAUGCUUGAACGGAAGUAGUUUCAGGAUCACUUCUUGAUCAUUUUAGCCUCUCGACCGUGCUUUGCUUCUCUUCUCGCUCUCAUUUGCAUAAGUUAACCACCAUAUGUGCUAGUGCUUGCUGCAGCUCCCCCUCACUACCUUUUCCUACCCAUAAGCUUAAAUAAUCUUGGUCUCGUGGGUGUGAGAUUGCUGAGUCCCCGUGACUCACAGAUUACUUCCAAAACCUGUUGCAGGUGCCGAUGAGACCAGUGCAGGUGACGCAACUGAGCUCAAGGAGGAGCUCGAUGAAGUUCGUGUUCGUUGUGUUGUUUCAUUUCCAGAUGAUCAGUUGUGAAGCCUAGUCGGGGCGAUCGGGGAUCUAUGCAUUAGGGGUUGUCUUUCUUUAUUUGGUUUUGUAGUCGAAUCUUGAUUGUAUUCUGGAUGAUGUAAUGCUAUAUUUAUGUAUUGUGUGAAGUGGCGAUUGUAAGCCAACUCUUUAUCCCUCUCUUAUUCAGUACAUGGGAUGUGUAAAGAUUACCCCUCUUGCGACAUGCCUACAAUGCGG
rnacentral:lncRNA from 1 species